CUUGUCCAUUCUAGAUGCAAUCAAAGCAUGAAGAGAUUAUGUAUCAUUUAAUAUCAUUACGUUUCUUACGGUGAGAUGGAAAAACGGCAGCUCUGUAUUAUUAUCUGCAUGAGCUUUACACCAGGGACUGGAGUCCGUUGGCGAAGGGCUUUGCUGCCCCCCAGGACUCCAGGUAUUGAGUCAUACGCACAGACGCUCGCAUCUUCGCCCCGUAGAGAACCGGACGAGGACGGCAGUGAAGAUGCGGGCUGCGUCUUUCUCCCUGGGUACGAGUCUCGGACCUGUCCGUCUCCCGCCUCCACUUUGUAGGCCCCUUUUAAAUGUUCCAGCGUCACAGAGGAGAUGUGAACUCGGCUGGGGAGGACAAAUAGGACAUGACAGAGCACUUCAAUAUCAACACCCGGAAACAUUACGUCCUCUCAUGCAGCCCUCACAGAGGAUGGUAUAUACAGUAUAUAUAAAAUACAAACAAGGCAGUGAGGUAAUGAAAGACCCAGGGCAGUGUACAUUGUCUUGUUGCUGAAUAAAAACUCAUUAGCCACAAGCACCUUUCACAGCGCUCUCCACAGUGUGUUUGGCUGAACAUGAAGAGCCCUUGUUAGAUUUCGCACUGUUGAUCACAGAUGUAAAAACACAUGCACAAAGAAAGGGAUCACGACAAAAAACCCCCAAAACACACACACACACACACACACACACACACACACACACACACACACACACACACACACACACACACAC